GCUUCGGAUGCUGAGAUAUUUAGGUUUUAAUAAGGAGAGUGCAGCCUUUCCCAAAAAGGGCUUAGGACAAAAUGGGUUAAAGUGGGUGGGCAGAGGGGCCAACAUAAGCCAACCCCCUCCAGUCUCCUUGUGGCCACUCCUCCAGUAGUUCGACAUCAGUAUGUUGCUACUGUAAACAUAGGAGUUGCUGGGGUCAAACUCUAUACUGCCUGGGUCAUAUGUUUCCAUGUCUGCCAGAUUUACCCAGUACAGUAGAUCAUGGGACCAUGUCAUAAGAUUCCCCACAUUCCCAGCAGUGGGCUGCACCAGCUGAGUGUACUGUGAGGUCUAAAGGAAAUUUGACUGUAAAGCCCACCUUAUGCCUGUACAAUCUGAUAAACAAUGGUCAAACUAAUGACGCACUAACACCUGGUGUACUCCGCCGCAGGCCUAGACGUUUCUAGGAGUUGUCUUCCAAGGCAGCAGAAGUUAUAAAAUAUGUUCCGAGGUACAGUUCCACAACUCUACAUUCCAAAGUUAUAUUCUUCACAAUCUACUAUCCAAUGUUCCAAGGUUAUAUUCAACACAAUUCUAUAGCACCAUGUUCCAGAGUUCUAUUCUUAAACAUUCUACAGCGCCAUGUUCCAGAGUCCUAUUCUUCAAAAUUCAACAGCCCCCAUGUUCCAAUGUUCUAUUCCCCACACAUACAGCCCAAUGUUCGAAAGUUCUCUUCAUCACAAUUCUACAGUCCCAUGCUCCAAGGUUCUAGUCUUCACAAUUCUAAAACAAUACAGUGUGUUCAUAGGUCCUAGAUAUUUUCACAGUUCUAAAGCACCAUGUUCCAAGGUCAUCAAUUCCACAGUUCUAUACAACCCCAUGUUUUCAGGCUUCUUAGCUCUGCAGCUUGAGAGUGCUAUUAUGUUGUUGUUCUUAUUACGCAACAUUAUCCCUCAUGGUCCCUUAGUGCUAUGGCACACACAACGAGUAAACAUAAAAUUACACAGUCAGGCCUGGGAACAAAGUGGUGCUAGCAGCUUGUGAGUACUGUAUACAGUAUGCAAACAUGACCACAAAGCAGGUCGGUAUUAAAAUCCUGUUGUUAUGGAGACAUGUCACUAUAUUUAAUAGGUAGGCCACUUAUUGUUGCUACUUAAUUUGGAUAGCCUAUCAGCACUCAGCAGCAAACAUCUACUAAUGCAAACAAAGGACUGGCCAGUGGCACAGUAGCUGGUCAUUGGGGCUGUAGCAGAGGUGGAGCAAUUGUAAAUGGGGCCCCAGGGCUUAACACUGAUAAGGCCCCCCAUAUGUCCUGCCAACAUCAUAAUAGGGCCCCCACCACCAAUAUGGGAGGGCUCUGGGACCAGGGGCUAUUCCCCUGCUUGCCCAUCCUAUACCUCUGCCCCUGGGCUGUAGUCCGACAGGUAAACUCAGGGUUGGUCAAUAGAAACGUCCCUUUAACCCAUUGACGCCUAAGGCACCUGCCAAAAAGGGUGCUGAAUGCCUUAGCCCUUUUUAAGAAAAGCUGCCCUCAGCCUAUAAUAAACCUAAAUAUAUUUUCUUAAGAAUAAAAUGAGGACUCCAGGCUCUUCUACUAGAUGAUUUACCUCUUAACAAAAUCUGAUUUACUCCUGAAUCAGGUUCUUAGAAUGCCCCUCAGGUUGUCAAAGGCUGAGUUGCUUUAACACAGUGUUUCUUAAACUUUUUCAGAUCGAGGACCACUUUGUCCCCCCAAAAAUGUUCACGGACCACCUGUCUACUGAAUUGACAGCUGACGGGUGCUAAUUUUGAUGCAGAUCACUUACUUCUUAUUCACAUUCACAAGCCUGGCUUAUUGCGGUGAAAAUGAGACUUCAGCUAUGUUUAGCUUUGCAAUAAUAUUACAAAUAUAGUCUACUGCUUGUCUUGGAAAAGUAGAAAUCCCCUUGUGGACCACCUGAGCUCUGUCGCGUACCACUAGUGGUACCCGGACCACACUUUGAGAAUCACUGCUUUAACACAACAGCUCCAUUGCCAAACAGUUAGGCCAUAAACACAAUUUUUAAGUUGUUUUCUGUCUUUAUUUGGUUGCUUUUUUAUCACUUGAGUCUCAGCUCAACAAAACAGUUUCAGUUAAUAACCAGGGGCAUCUUUGGUUUCUAGGCAACAAGAGUCUGUUUGUACACAAUGACCAAAUCUGUACAUUCCUUGCAACCACGCCUGGCUGUUGUUCACAGUCUGAAUUUGGUCAAUUGCUGAGGGUGCCUGCCAAUCUGAAAACCUGCGUGUCUUUCAGAACUUUUUCUUGCUUUCCUCACAAUUGUUUAUGUACCAGUAUGUAUUGCAUGGAGCAGAAUGCUUGCGUUAAGUGAACAACUAUAUUGCAUCUUUUACAGUGAUGAUUAGGCUGUGAAGGGUCAUGCAUGGACCAUCAUGAUAUAUAUCGUUGGAUAUCUUCACUCCUGGACGAUGCUUGAACUGUGUCUCAGCCAAUCAGAUGUAGUCCAUGACCUUUAAUAACCACACAACCACUUCCUCAAUGUGAACACCAUGUUCUGGUAAGCAGCACAUUGCACAUUUUAAUGCAUACACAGGAAAGACUGAGUAUCAGACCUGCAAACUC